AUUGAACGCUGGCGGCAGGCCUAACACAUGCAAGUCGAACGGUAGCACAGAGAGCUUGCUCUCGGGUGACGAGUGGCGGACGGGUGAGUAAUGUCUGGGAAACUGCCCGAUGGAGGGGGAUAACUACUGGAAACGGUAGCUAAUACCGCAUAACGUCGCAAGACCAAAGUGGGGGACCUUCGGGCCUCACACCAUCGGAUGUGCCCAGAUGGGAUUAGCUAGUAGGUGGGGUAAUGGCUCACCUAGGCGACGAUCCCUAGCUGGUCUGAGAGGGUGACCAGCCACACUGGAACUGAGACACGGUCCACACUCCUACGGGAGGCAGCAGUGGGGAAUAUUGCACAAUGGGCGCAAGCCUGAUGCAGCCAUGCCGCGUGUAUGAAGAAGGCCUUCGGGUUGUAAAGUACUUUCAGCGGGGAGGAAGGCGGUGAAGUUAAUAGCUUCACCGAUUGACGUUACCCGCAGAAGAAGCACCGGCUAACUCCGUGCCAGCCGCCGCAGUAA
rnacentral:rRNA from 1 species